rnacentral:rRNA from 1 species
UACAGAGACUGCAAGCGUUAUUCGGAUUCACUGGGCGUAAAGGGUGCGCAGGCGGCCGUGUGUGUUAGGCGUGAAAGCCCGAGGCUCAACCUCGGAAUUGCACCUAAAACUACACGGCUAGAGUACUGGAGAGGGUAGCGGAAUUCACGGUGUAGCAGUGAAAUGCGUAGAUAUCGUGAGGAACACCAAUGGCGAAGGCAGCUACCUGGACAGUAACUGACGCUCAGGCACGAAAGCGUGGGGAGCAAAAGGG